rnacentral:rRNA from 1 species
GGAGUUGUGGCUUAAUUUGACUCAACGCGGAAAAGCUUAUCUGGUCCGGACACAGUGAGGAUUGACAGACAGUUGGCAGGAGUGGUUCUUGGUAAAAACAAAUGAGAGAGUUGAAGUUCUUUCAUGAUCUUGUGAGAGGUGGUGCAUGGCCGUUCUUAGUUCGUGUAGUGAUAUGUCUGCCUAAUCGCGUCACGAUAACCUAUUGGUCGACAACCCAAUUAUCACAACUGCAGCAUAACUCCCCUUGGGUGGGCGAGGCUCUGUGUAGGAUAGACCUCUGAACAGUACGCAACGAACGCGAUCGUAAUCCCUUGUUGAGUGGCCAUCCUGUAAGCUGCUGGAUUUGAAACCCAGUGGUAUUAUCUCAGCCACAGAUUUUCUGGUUGUAAUGGGCCAGUUUUGAAACUCGGGGAACAUCUGUGACUUUCUUUCUUAACGCAGAGGAAGGUUAUGGCAAUAACA